CCACCGAGCUCAGCAGAGCUCUAGGGCCCUGCCCUCCACGCACCCCUCUCGGCCGGCAGCAGGGCGACAGCUUGGAGACUGCAGGUGGCAACACCACUUCCCAUCAGCUAGUCCCGUGCCUCGGCCCAGGGCGGGGUCCCACCAAGUAAGUAGCCAGUGAACCGGCUUAGGAGAGCCCGGACCUGGGAGACAGGGUAUUGAGAAGGGGCAUCCGGAGCAAGGAGAGCGCACCGGCCCCCGCGGGCUGCCUUGGACUUGACCACGCACUGCUCAGACCUUGGGCUGCUCCCAGCUUCUAGCCCGACGCCACCGCGGAAAGGCAGACUUAUCCAGGCCCCUGGAAGCCCCGCACCAAAGCUGCUAUGAAGAUGCUAAUGACCUCCAUGGCGAAGUCACCACCUUAUGCGGAAUGCUAAGACUUGGGGAAGCCAAGGCGCCAGGCACCAGUAGACUUCCAGCGCUCAGUGACUCCUCUCUGUAGCCUCUUCUCUCCCUAUGCUUUCCAAGGACUCAGAACGGGAGAGGUGGCCACAAACCUCGGUGGCCAAGUUUGGGAGGCUAGCACUCAGACACGUCAGGGCUGACCACUACCUUCGCCAAGCUGUGCCCCGGGGCCAGGAGCGCUGACCUGCAACCCUCACCCUUUCUGGUAGCAGAAAUGUCUCCAAGGGAAAGGUGGUGUCCAGAGCUGAGAGCACAUCGUUACAUGGGGGAGGGGGGACGCAAGUGCUUGGGGGACUAAGGUAGCUUCCGUGAUACCCAAUAAACAGCUGCUACGGCCGAGGGGGGCGGCGCA
rnacentral:lncRNA from 1 species